CAAUCGACGCUUCUUUUCCACCGGAGCUUGCUCCCCGGGAAAGAGGAGUGGCGAACGGGUGAGUAACACGUGGGUAACCUGCCCAUCAGAAGGGGAUAACACUUGGAAACAGGUGCUAAUACCGUAUAACAAUCGAAACCGCAUGGUUUCGUUUUGAAAGGCGCUUUACGGUGCCGCUGAUGGAUGGACCCGCGGUGCAUUAGCUAGUUGGUGAGGUAACGGCUCACCAAGGCCACGAUGCAUAGCCGACCUGAGAGGGUGAUCGGCCACAUUGGGACUGAGACACGGCCCAAACUCCUACGGGAGGCAGCAGUAGGGAAUCUUCGGCAAUGGACGAAAGUCUGACCGAGCAACGCCGCGUGAGUGAAGAAGGUUUUCGGAUCGUAAAACUCUGUUGUUAGAGAAGAACAAGGGUGAGAGUAACUGUUCACCCCUUGACGGUAUCUAACCAGAAAGCCACGGCUAACUACGUGCCAGCAGCCGCGGUAAUACGUACGUGGCAAGCGUUGUCCGGAUUUAUUGGGCGUAAAGCGAGCGCAUGCGGUUUCUUAAGUCUGAUGUGAAAGCCCUCCGGCUCAACCGGUGGAGGGUCAUUGGAAACUGGGAGACUUGAGUGCAGAACACGACAGUGGAAUUCCAUGUGUAGCGAUGAAAUGCAGUAGAUAUGUGGGAGGAACACCGGUUGGCCGACCCGCGGCUC
rnacentral:rRNA from 1 species